rnacentral:rRNA from 1 species
GUGAGGAAUAUUGGUCAAUGGGCGAAAGCCUGAACCAGCCAUGUCGCGUGAAGGAUGAAGGUCCUAUGGAUUGUAAACUUCUUUUGCAGGAGGGUAAAGUGAGCUACGUGUAGUUCAUUGCAAGUACCCUGCGAAUAAGCAUCGGCUAACUCCGUGCCAGCAGCCGCGGUAAUACGGAGGAUGCGAGCGUUAUCCGGAUUUAUUGGGUUUAAAGGGUGCGUAGGCGGACUAAUUAGUCAGCGGUGAAAUUUUGCGGCUCAACCGUAAAACUGCCGGUGAAACUGUUAGUCUUGAGUGCGGUAGAGGUAGGCGGAAUGUGUGGUGUAGCGGUGAAAUGCUUAGAUAUCACACAGAACACCGAUUGCGUAGGCAGCUUACUGGAGCGCAACUGACGCUGAGGCACGAAAGCGUGGGGAUCGAACAGGAUUAGAUACCCGGGUAGUCC